GACGAACGCUGGCGGCGUGCCUAAUACAUGCAAGUUGAGCGCUGACGGUUGGUACUUGUACCACCUGGAUGAGCAGCGAACGGGUGAGUAACGCGUGGGGAAUCUGCCUUUGAGCGGGGGACAACAUUUGGAAACGAAUGCUAAUACCGCAUAAAAACUUUAAACACAAGUUUUAAGUUUGAAAGAUGCAAUUGCAUCACUCAAAGAUGAUCCCGCGCUGUAUUAGCUAGUUGGUGAGGUAAAGGCUCACCAAGGCGAUGAUACAUAGCCGACCUGAGAGGGGGAUCGGCCACAUUGGGACUGAGACACGGCCCAAACUCCUACGGGAGGCGGCAGUAGGGGAUCUUCGGCAAUGGACGAAAGUCUGACCGGGCAACGCCGCGUGAGUGAAGAAGGUUUUCGGAUCGUAAAACUCUGUUGGUAGAGAAGAACGUUGGUGAGGGUGGAAAGCUCAUCAAGUGACGGUAACUACCCAGAAAGGGACGGCUAACUACGUG
rnacentral:rRNA from 1 species